AACGCACGAGACCUGCGGACCUGCGGAGGGAUCAUUACAGGACUCGCAAGACUCCUACAACCCUGUGAACUUAACUAUAAGCACGUUGCUUCGGCGGGUGUCUCGGCGAGGGUUCUCCCUCCCCGGGGCGCUAAGCCCGCCGGCAGCCUACUAUACUCUGUCUCUUUGCGUUGGCAUCUCGAGUACAAACAAACAAGUUAAAACUUUUAACAACGGAUCUCUAGAUCGGAAGAGCACACG
rnacentral:misc_RNA from 1 species